AGUCACUAACGUGUAUAAGUCUUCCCAAGACUUUAGUUGAAAGAAAAUAAUCCAUUUUAGAGCUUCUACAAAUACUCACACAUUGGAAACUUUCCAGUGUAGACUAAAUUACUCUCAGUGCAUCUCUGGACAAUUUCAUGUCGUCCAAAAUCUCUGUACCUUGACUGCAUUCAUUGUGUAAAUUCCUGAAAUAGGCUUAAAUAAUUGAUUGUGGAAAAGAAUAAAAAGCCUCAUACCAUUAACAAGAUUGGAUUCUGACUCCCACAAGUCUAAUUAUCCCCUUGCAAAGUACUCUUCUCUACUCUUUAGCUCUUGUCUCUUAAAACAAUUUGCUACAGUCUUGAUUUUUGUUUCUGCUCAUUAUCUAUAGGUUCUAACUUCAAAGUGGCUACAGCUAGUGUAUUUCUACUGUUUAAUCUAAUAUUGUUAUAGGCACAAUUAUAUAAUAUUAAUACUUCUUUCAAAGUAAUUUGUUUCGUAGAAUCCAUUAUGAGUUGUUCCUUAUUUCAUGAUUUUGUUUAAGGAGAUUCCCAAUGAAACACAUUUCUGU
rnacentral:lncRNA from 1 species